GAUGAACGCUAGCGGGAGGCCUAACACAUGCAAGCCGAGCGGUAUUUGUUCUUCGGAACAGAGAGAGCGGCGCACGGGUGCGGAACACGUGUGCAACCUGCCUUUAUCUGGGGGAUAGCCUUUCGAAAGGAAGAUUAAUACCCCAUAAUAUAUUGAGUGGCAUCAUUUGAUAUUGAAAACUCCGGUGGAUAGAGAUGGGCACGCGCAAGAUUAGAUAGUUGGUGAGGUAACGGCUCACCAAGUCAAUGAUCUUUAGGGGGCCUGAGAGGGUGAUCCCCCACACUGGUACUGAGACACGGACCAGACUCCUACGGGAGGCAGCAGUGUGGAAUAUUGGACAAUGGGUUAGCGCCUGAUCCAGCCAUCCCGCGUGAAGGACGACGGCCCUAUGGGUUGUAAACUUCUUUUGUAUAGGGAUAAACCUACUCUCGUGAGAGUAGCUGAAGGUACUAUACGAAUAAGCACCGGCUAACUCCGUG
rnacentral:rRNA from 1 species